GUUUCUUCCAUCCAUCUCUGUGUGGGCUAUGCCUGCAUGCCACACAGCAUCACAGCCCUUCGUUGGCAUCCUUGGUGUCAGCCUGCAGCCACGUGAGCUAAGGCACACCAGAUGAAAAAUUCAAAUGAUGCUUUACACAGCACAACAUUUCCCGAGAGGGAUUCUGAGCUGCCCAGCUGUGCUGUUUUGAGGCCAUUUGGAGCCAAACACAGAAACAUGAGGCACAGUAGCACUUUUCUCUACAAAGAAACAGCCCUGAAGGGCCUCUCACCUGUGUUGAUGGGUCUGGCAGCAUUCAGAGCACUAAGGGAGUGUGAGUGACUUCCGCGAGGGCAGAUGGUCUCUGAGGAUCUCUGCUAUGGGCUGGGGAGGUAGAUGAAAGCAGCUCCAUUGCACGAUCUCCUAGCGCCGUGUAUUUUUUGCUCAGGCAUGGUGACCGCUCGGGGCUCACUCUGGGCACGCCGGGCAGGGCGGGCAGCCAACUGGCAGAGCAGGGCCCAGCUGCUACAUGGCAGGGAGCUGCAGCACUGUUAACCCUUCCUGAAGUACUGCCACCACACCAUGUGGUGACUGCUGCAGCACCUGCAGGUCCACUGCCAGUUCCCCCUCCCCUCUUGGCUUCUCUUUCAGGAUGGUCUGUGUGCCUUAUAAAGGGGCUGUCAGACUGAGAUUUCCCUGCUGAAGAUGGUGGAGCUCUGCACCUGCUUUGUAAUUAAACAAACAGGCAGACAGUGAUGUGGAUGCAGAUUUGGACUCACCCUGUCUUUGUCCCAGCCUCAAAGCCACAGGGCCUGGCCUGUCAGCAGGAUGGGCACAUCCUGGGUGCAAGAGCAGCUUGGCAAGGCUGCAUUUGCAGGCAGGCUAUGCACAGGGCUGCCCUUCUGCCACCUCAGGGACAUCUCUGCCUGUGCAGCUGCACACUGGUUUUUCACCCAGCAGCAAGCAAUGGCUGGUACCAGGUGUUAGAUCCUCCAUGCUGGGGGGACAUGUGUUGGGCCAAUUCAAGCUAGCUAGAGCUUCCUGCAGCCUUGAGAAUCUUCUCUUGCUAAAGCCAGAAAAGUCCCUCAGCCAGCUUUGUUCACACACACACACUCAUAACACAGGGAGAAAAAAAUCUCUUGUGCUCAGCAUGAUGGAGCAUCACUGAGGACCCCCUUCAAAUCAAACGCCCUUUCCCGUGGCCAAACUCCUGCAUUUCUGCAGGUCUCUUUCCACGAGCCACCCGUCCCCAGAUGCUGGUCCUGCUGCAAUGGCCACCUCUGGACACUGACCUGCUUUGCUGUGAUGCUGCAGCCCCUGCAGUGCCCUGCCAUCCCCGCCAAGCAGCCCCCACAGCCAACACCUCCCCUGGCUCCCUGCAGCCUGGCCUGCCCUUCCCUCCUGACCAUCUCUUCUAGCCAAGCCAUCAUUUCCCAGAAAACAGACAUGUUGCUAUAUUAAGGAGAUCUCGCCCUCAGCGUUUCUUUGCCUCUGGGGAGACUCAAGCAAAUCAAGUGGCAGAGUAUACGCAAAGCAGCACAGACUCCCUGUCAGAUGAAAAGGACAGUCCAAAAGGGAAGAGAGAGCAAAAGAGAAAGCUCUGUGUUUGCAUUUGUCUCUGACAUGAUGGAUUUCCCCUUCCUGGAAUGCAGCCUUGGCGUAAAUAAAGCCAGGAACGGCUUUUGUGUAAGAACUCGCUUCCUUACCAAUAGUCGUGGAGUCACAGACAAUAAAAGCCCUGGCAGUUCAUCCCAUAAUGCUCUGUAUAAUCAGCAGGAUUUUCCCUACUGAAUAUUCACCGAAGUUGCUUUAUCUACCAUGCCUCUGAAAUCUCCAGAGAUGGAACCUCUGCAGAUGCCCUCAAGAGCACAUUUUUCCAUACUUGAAGCGUUCUUGCUGCAAAGAUAAAAACCAAACCUCUGAUCUAACACAUUAAAAAGCCAUCUCUGGGGGAGUUCAAAGACAGUGAGAGCUGUCUGUGGGCCACAAACAGCAAAGGUGUUCAACACUGUCGAUUUUUCCCCAAGUGGUUCCCUUAGUGUAUUUUUUUGCAUUGUCUAGAGCUUUUGCUCUUUGCAUCAACAUCAGCUCUCACCCUCCAUCACAGAACAGUGAAGAUAUCUGUGAGUAUCAGCGUAGAUACUUGAGAACUAUUGUCUUUCCAGUCUUUUCCCCACCUCAAACUGUAAAGCUGAGGCUCUUUUCGUAUUCCUAUUCUGCAAAGACUGCUAUCACCUGUGUUGCCUUUCUUGAAGGAAAAACAUAUUCUUUCAUGGGAACAAAGACCCCAUCACUCACGUAGGUAAGGCAGCACCUAGCGUUGUGCUUGCUCCCCAUGGCAAACUACAUAUGUGUGUCACAUGUUGUGGUGUGGGAUAUUUUGCUAAAUCUGUGUAUUGAGAUUUUUGACCACUAUACCUACCUCUGUCUCACAUUGCCAUCUGUUCGGAGGCUCCCCGCAUCUGCUCUCUUCACUACCAACAGAGGACUGCCAGGAAAAUGGUUCCUCCUUUUCUUGCCAAAUUUGGAAUUUCAGUUGCAAAUUUACCCUAGCAAGAAAGCCAAGGGAAGUCACUGCCAGGCUCAUUCCAGCUUUCCUGCUGGGCAUAUUUUCAGUGCUGUCGCAGAAGCUGAAGAGGGGAGCAGAGUCCCUUCUGCAAGGGGCUGUGCCCAGCACUGCGAGGAACCUGUAGCUGUGCCCAAGCAGGAAGAGCAGAUUGAAAAAAGACCUCAAAAAUGUGCUAUGUGUGGGCUCAGGAAAAGAAUUCUAUGUGACAUGGAUGACAAUCACAGCACUCUGUACACUCGUCCUCAUGAAAACUAAUGCACCUGGCUGCAAUGGCUGAAGGUCUUUUUGGAAGCAGAUCCAAUCGAAUGUGCCAGCGCCACAUAAGUCAUUCCUGAAAUUAAUUUUCCACAGGACUGGCUUGCAUAAUAUGCAUAGGGCUUCUUUGUUUGCAUGUGGUACAAUCCUGCAGCCAAGUCAGAGGAAGCUUUAUACAACUCUGUACUGCUAUGCUUGGUCAGCACAUGCGUAUGUGCAAGCAGAUGCUGCCGAAGUCAAGCCAGGACUUCUGUGUGCAAGUUUCUUGUGAAAUGAGACAAGUGUGUCAGGCAUUUUUCUCUGUACUACCCUUGUAGGUGUAUUAUACAGAGACAAAAUAGCAACUCUGCUCUGCUGUCACCAUCCUGCUCCAGUUAACUCACCACAGCUGAAUGUUUAGGUGGAAGAACACCUGAUAUGCUUCAACUCACCUGUUUCCACUGGAGAUUAGGGCAGAAUCAGUUGUCAUGGGGUUUCUGCUGCAGAGUGAGCAGUAUAUCACCAUCCUUAUAGUGUCUCUGUCCACAUAAGGCUUUUUACCCCUACAAAACAAUGAUAGGAGACUUAAUAGUACAGGUGGAGCAUACAGGGGUCACCUCAGACACCUCAGCUGAAGGCAGCUGGCCCUGGCCUCAUCCUAGGGCACCAAACCUCAGCAGAUUUCCUGCACCUUCUGCUGCAGCACCACAAAUCUAUCAAAUGCCAAUGGGGCGCCUGCAGGGAUGUGGCAAAGAUCACAUACUUCUACAAGGAAUUUUUAGAGGCUCCCAAGAACCACACAGCAAAUGAUUUUUUUCCACGUGAAGGCUCCAUUGGAACAAGAGAGACCUUCCAGUGGGUUGGAAAAAGCACCACCCUCCACCUCAGCAGGAGAAAGAAGUUCAGCCAGGGAAGGCAUGGCUCAUUAUCUGUUGAAGAAGUACUCAUUUAGCUGAGGUGUUGAUGGGUCUCGGCAAAUUCCCAAAUAGAAAAAUCACCUAUUGCUCUUCCAUUCCUCACUAUGGCUCACCCAUUCCUUCCUCUCUGCUGAGACUGGUUAAUUCAGUUCAUAUUCGUGAACUCGUGACUGAGCAAUGAUAGAAAAAUGUAGUAUGUAAUGGGAACAGUGAACUGUCACCUCACAUGGCUGGUACCAAGGAGGCUCCUAAUUAUAGCCUGAUGUGUACAUCCUCCUGGAAGGUGAUUGUACUUAUUUGAACAAGUACAGUAUUAAUUAAAUACUUUGAUUAUUUCUGAAACAGGCUUUGGGAUGGAGGGGGAGAGAGGUUCAAGGGAACUAAUCUUUCCAUUGCUGAAAGAUUUUUUUUUUUCCUAGGAACUGCAGCAGAAGGCUAAAUACAGGAUUUCCUCUUCAUUUCCUCUUUCCUCCUGUCUCUGACAUGUUCCCAUGUGGUCUCCCAUCAUGGUCUGCUUGCCCUUAGUCUCCCCUGGCUCUGCGGCCAUGCCAAGUCCCCAGGAUCACCCCACUUGCCUCUCCUGGCAGGCAGAAGCCCAGCAGGGAGGGAUGAAGGCUCUUGUCUGAGAGCAGGAUUUGCAGCUGCGUGACCUUCUGUGCUUGCAGUAUUCCCAGUGGUACCUGCCUGCAGAAAACCUGGGAACAGCCAGUUUCCAGCUCUUGCACUGGGUUUCCAGCAGCUUCCAAGACCCAAUACAAAGCAGCAACGCUGCACACGAGAGGCACAGACCAAGAUCAGGAGGUGCAGAGAAAACAAGGGAAAUGUCACAUGAUUAACUCUUCAAACCAAGAAAGAUCUUCAAUUCACACAAGGCACAAAGCUUUGCUCAGGCUCUGCUGCAGGCUCUCCAGGAGUGAUGAAUGGUUCACGGAGGUCCUGGGUUUGCAGGGAGCCUGGAGCUGCCAUACAAGCAAGGCAGCUUGGGUGGCAGCAGGCUGCAGAAGGCAGUGGGUUUAGGUGCUGGGGGCAAAGCUGGUUUCUCAGCCUGGAGCUGCCUUUCAAGGAAGCCUUGGGCCCCAUUUCAGGUGAGCUCCUUCUUACUUCUUGAACGAACCUAAACCAUGUGCUGAGCUGUGAAGUCCAGCAGUAUUUCUUAGCAACUCUGGGAACAGUGUUUCCCAGCAAGAUAAGACCUUAUUUAAAAGAGCCAAAGCUUUGCUUUGAAGGAAUCCUCUACCACAGUGUAUGGCUGUGGAACAGUCACUUUGUACCAUUUUGGAGGAAACUAAACCUGCUGUUCUUGCACCAUGCCUUGUAGCCAUCCCCUGCCUCAGUUUCUCUUUGUCCCAGCACUUCCUUGAUAGUAGUCUCUGCCUGGCACCACAGAAGAAGGCAGCAUGGAGCAGCAGACUCUUGUACAUACCGGGGAUUUUCUGCUCUUGUGGAAGUCCUUCACAUCUACAGGGGUCCAAACAGGCAACCAGCACCCUUCUGGCAGUACCAAAACCAGCUGUCCUGAUUGCUAUCAACAUACCUGAAAUGCUGCUGCAUCAGAGCCUCUGCAGGGGACAUGACAACUGUGCUUUGCCCAGGUCACGGGAGAAUACAAUCCUGUUUUCUCCCACGUCUUUUCAUUAUGGUUUGUAGGGCCAUAUGAAACAUAGAAUGUUUGGUCUCUCAUCUUGAAAAGAUUAGUAAGGGAUGGCUGUGGGUCAGGACUGUCACUGAUGCACUCCAAAGGACUCAGUGCAGCUGCACAGCUCUGUAUUGAGGAUGCAGGGGAAGGACAAGAGGUAUUUCUACACCCAGUAAUGCAGAAGAUGUUAAAUCAACAUGAUGAGAGCUGAUGAGAAACAAUAGAGGCAUCAGGACAGCACAGAGAAAGGGAGAGUUAUGAGACCUGGAUGCUGUGGGCCUAAGAGACAUGGAGACAUGCAUGCUAAUUUAUCAUUGUACCAAUACCUCUACAGGCCACAGAGUGCUGCUGGGCCAUAAAAAUGGUGCUGUUCUAAUGCCAGUCUCCCCCUGCUGGGAACCAGAGGCCCAAAGGCAAACCCUGGGUGACAUUCCUUGAGAGGCUCCAGAAGCUCUCAGUGGGGAUGGCAGCUCUGCAAAGAGCCAGGCAAAGAGCAUGAAAGCACUCACAGCAUUGCCUCAAAGGGCUCGGCUCCUGCUCCAGCCACUUUCCCCAGGGCAUAUUUCCCAGUUGCACUCUCACAAGCCCCUCUGAGAUGCUGAGGACAUGCAGGUUCCUCAUGCUCUGCAUAUGAGUGAAAACGGGACAUAGGACAGGAAAGCAACAGAGGCCAAAGACAAAAGCCUGGGCUCAGAAGAAGGUGAAGAAACAAUGAGAUCACCAGGCAUAAGCUCAGGGAUGCUGGGCUAAUCUGAAAUGUCUGAGACCAGGAGGUGGAGGGGAGGAGAGGUUGCUCUGCGCAGCCCUUUUUCAGGAACCACCAGACAGAUUUGAAAGGCCCAACCUAAAGUAUUGGACUACAGCUUCACAAGGAGGCAAUUGAAAACACAAAUUGAUCAAAGCUGCUGUUCAGGGACAUUCACUGCUCCUCAUUCCAAUUGGCUCGCUGUGUAACCACCAUCGGCAGCUUCCCUCACAGAAAGAUCCACUGCAUGGAUUUUUCCUUUCCGAUUGCAUUUCCAGGGAUGAUAGGAAAGUUGCAGCAUAAAUUAAACAAGGCGCCUUGGGACUCCGAUUCAAAAAUAAUGUAGAUGAAUUCCUGAGUGAGAGGGGAAGAAAGAGCGGAGCUAAAUGCACUGCCUGCCUGAUGGCUUCUCCCUGGCCGUGUUCACACCAAUUAGCUGUAGCUGCACGGAUAGGGCGGCCAGGAAAGCACCUUUGUGCACACAUGCUAAUUUACUCACUGGCUGCAGCACACAAUUAAUAAAAGCACCGCUCCACGCAUUCCUGAAAACAAAGAGCUAAUGCCACAACAUCCAGAGACACAGAACCCGAAAGGGGUGCGCACACAAAAACAAGCUUGAGCUUUGGGGAACUCUGCAGUGCUCAGCCAGCCCUGGCAGUCAGAAUCACUGGGCAAGCAUAGGGCCCUGCUCUGCCAUCCGAAAGUUUGUGCUGCCAGUACCACGCAAACUGAGGGGAGAAUGAAC